GAUGAACGCUGGCGGCGUGCCUAAUACAUGCAAGUCGAGCGAACAGAUGAGGAGCUUGCUCCUCUGACGUUAGCGGCGGACGGGUGAGUAACACGUGGAUAACCUACCUAUAAGACUGGGAUAACUUCGGGAAACCGGAGCUAAUACCGGAUAAUAUAUUGAACCGCAUGGUUCAAUAGUGAAAGACGGUUUUGCUGUCACUUAUAGAUGGAUCCGCGCCGCAUUAGCUAGUUGGUAAGGUAACGGCUUACCAAGGCAACGAUGCGUAGCCGACCUGAGAGGGUGAUCGGCCACACUGGAACCGAGACACGGUCCAGACUCCUACGGGAGGCAGCAGUAGGGAAUCUUCCGCAAUGGGCGAAAGCCUGACGGAGCAACGCCGCGUGAGUGAUGAAGGUCUUCGGAUCGUAAAACUCUGUUAUUAGGGAAGAACAAAUGUGUAAGUAACUAUGCACGUCUUGACGGUACCUAAGCAGAAAGCCACGGCUAACUACGU
rnacentral:rRNA from 1 species